rnacentral:lncRNA from 1 species
AUCUGACACUUGUGGCAUUUCUUCACAUAUUUGCAGCAGUCAGACUCCAUUGUCAGCCAAUAGUAGCCUGCUCUCAACAUCUUCUUUGCCAUGGCAUAUCCUAUGAAUCUUAUCCGCAUAAAUCUGACACUUGUGGCAUUUCUUCACAUAUUUGCAGCAGUCAGACUCCAUUGUCAGCCAAUAGUAGCCUGCUCUCAACAUCUUCUUUGCCAUGGCAUAUCCAUUGGAAAGAGUGCCAUAUGAACCCUCAUGGACUUCAGUCAUCAACAGGUCUGCUUCGUGUCUAUCCACGCAUUUGAGCAGAACCAUGUAAAAAAAUUUCUUAUAAAGCACAUCGCCAUUGAGGUAGAAACUGUCUGAUAAUCUCCUCAAAGUCUUCUUAUCUUUAACAGAUGCCCCAGGUGGGUAAAUCUGACUCUGAAGAAAAC